rnacentral:lncRNA from 12 species
AUGGUCAGGGAAGCUGUCAGGGAAGCGGUCAUGGGCAGGGUAGUGGUCAAGGUAGUGGUCAGGGAAGCGGUUAUGGUCAGGGUAGCCGUCAAGGAAGCAGUUAUGGUCAGGGUAGCGGCCAGGGAAGCGGUUAUGGUCAGGGAAGCGGUUAUGGUCAGGGUAGAGGUCAGGAAAGUGGCCAGGGAAGCGGUUAUGGUUAGGAUAGCGGUAAGGGAAGUGGUUAUGGUCAGGGAAGUGGUCAGGGAAGCGGUUAUGGUUAGGAUAGCGGUAAGGGAAGUGGGUAUGGUCAGGGAAGCGGUUAUGGUCAGGGUAGCGGUCAGGGAAGCGGUUUUGGUCAAGGUAGUGGUCAGGGUAGUGGUCAGGGAAGCGGUUAUGGUUAGGAUAGCGGUAAGGGAAGUGGUUAUGGUCAGGGAAGCGGCCAGGGUAGCGGUUAUGGUCAGGGAAGCGGCCAGGGAAGCGGUUAUGGUCAGGGAAGCGGCCAGGGGAGCGGUUAUGGUCAGGGAAGCGGUUAUGGUCAAGGGAGUGGUCAGGGAAGCGGUUAUGGUCGAGGUAGUGGUCAGGGAAGCGGUUAUGGUCAAGGUAGUGGUGAAGGUAGUGGUCAGGGAAGCGGUUAUGGUUAGGUUAGCGGUAAGGGAAGUGGUUAUGGUCAGGGAAGCGGUUAUGGUCAGGGUAGCGGUCAGGGAAGUGGCUAUGGUCAGGGAAGCGGCCAGGGAAGCGGUUAUGGUCAGGGAAGCAGUUAUGGUCAGGGUAGCGGCCAGGGAAGCAGUUAUGGUCAGGGAAGCGGUUAUGGUUAGGAUAGCGGUAAGGGAAGUGGUUAUGGUCAGGGAAGCGGUUAUGGUCAAGGUAGUGGUCAGGGAAGCAAUUAUGGUCAAGGUAGUGGUCAGGGAAGCAGUUAUGGUGAGGGUAGCGGUCAGGGAAGCGGUUAUGGUCAGGGAAGCGUUUAUGGUCAGGGUAGCGUUCAGGGAAUCGGCCAGGGAAGCAUUUAUGGUCAGGGUAAUGGUCAGGGAAGUGGUCAGGGAAGCAGUUAUGGUCAGGGUAGCGGUCAGGGAAUCGGCCAGGGAAGCAGUUAUGGUCAGGGAAGCGGUUAUGGUCAGGGUAGCGGUCAGGGAAUCGGCCAGGGAAGCGUUUAUGGUCAGGGUAAUGGUCAGGGAAUCGGCCAGGGAAGCAGAUAUGGUCAGGGUAAUGGUCAGGGAAUCGGCCAGGGAAGCGUUUAUGGUCAGGGUAAUGGUCAGGGAAUCGGCCAGGGAAGCAGAUAUGGUCAGGGAAUCGGCCAGGGAAGCAGUUAUGGUCAGGGAAGCGGUUAUGGUCAGGGUAGAGGUCAGAGAAUCGGCCAUGGUCAGGGAUGUGGUCAAGGAAAUGGACAUGGGACUUAACACUUACUGGAGAUCUUUUCAAUUCAGUGCUUUUAUUUAUAUGGCAUGUUUUCCGUUUGCUCAAACAGUUUAG